ACUUUCAAAGGACCAUAGCCUGCCCGCCAACCUUAGCAGUAGGAUAUUCU
rnacentral:tRNA from 1 species